UCCGACUCCGGAUCUGUUGACGUUUAACCGGAUUCCUUGGCUGCUGCUCAGAGCACCGAUUCCCGGCAGGCCUGGGCAGAGGCAGGACCCACGGGAGGGCGCCGCAUGGCCAGCCAGGGUGGCGGUGGCCGGUCCGGUGAGGCAGCCAGGCUAAUCCAGCCACUGCCCUCUCUGAGCCGCCUUCUCUCUUGACUCGCCUCUCAUCGACUUUGCUCCGCCAGGGCUGUUGUCCCCUCCCGUGCUGUAGCGACCGCCUAGAUGUGCCGUGUCCGACACAGAGACCCCUCCCAUGCAAACGCCACUGAGCACGUGAAAGGUCGCCAGAUCCCAAGGAGAUUUGAAGGUGUGUACAAAAUAAAAAGAAUGAAAAA